UUUGUUGUUCCCUGCUUCUGGUGAUAUGUUUUCCCCAAGUAGAUGUGGGUGUGUCCGAUCUCUCAAUAUAGAGUCCGCCCCAUAAGCAGAAAGUGUUUAUCCUUUCCUUCCAUAUUCCCCACUAAGUUAUAUCCUCGUGGAUGAUGGUUGUUUCAGUUUCCUCCCAACACAUAUAUUGGGAUGAGUGUCCCCUAUUGAGU
rnacentral:lncRNA from 1 species